rnacentral:rRNA from 1 species
UACGGGGGGAGCAAGCGUUGUUCGGAUUUACUGGGCGUAAAGCGCGCGUAGGCGGCUUUGCAAGUCGGGUGUGAAAUCCCCAGGCUUAACCUGGGAACUGCAUUCGAGACUGCAUUGCUAGAGUAUGGGAGAGGGAAGUGGAAUUUCCGGUGUAGCGGUGAAAUGCGCAGAUAUCAGGAGGAACACCGGUGGCGAAGGCGGGUCUCUGGGCCGAUACUGACGCUGGAGGAGCGAAAGCGUGGGGAGCGAACAGG